rnacentral:rRNA from 1 species
AGUGAACGCUGGCGGUAGGCCUAGCACAUGCAAGUCGAACGGCAGCACAGUAAGUGCUUGCUCUUACGGGUGUCGAGUGGCGUACGGGUGAGGUAUACUUCGGAAUCUACUUUUUCGUGGGUGAUAACGUAGGGUAACUUACGCUAAUACCGCAUACGACCUACGGGUGAAAGCAGGGGUUCUUCGGACCUUGCGCGAUUGUAUGAGCCGAUGUCGGAUUUGCUAGUUGGCGGGGUAAAGGCCCACCAAGGCGACGAUCCGUAGCUGGUCUGAGAGGAUGAUCAGCCACACUGGAACUGAGAAACGGUCCAGACACCUACGGGAGGCAGCAGUGGGGAAUAUUGGACAAUGGGCGCAAGCCUGAUCCAGCCAUACCGCGUGGGUGAAGAAGGACUUCGGGUUGUAAAGCCCUUUUGUUGGGAAAGAAAAGCAGCAGGUUAAUACCCCGCUGUAAUGACGGUACCCAAAGAAUAAGCACCGGCUAACUUCGUG